rnacentral:SRP_RNA from 1 species
GCCAGGCAUGGUGGCGUGUGCCUGUAGUCCCAGCUACAGGGAGGCUGAGGUAGGAGGAUUACUUGAGCCCAGGAGGUUGAGGCUGCAGUGAGCCAAGAUCAUGCCACUGCACUCCAGUCUAGGUGACAAAGUGAGAUCCUGUCUCAA